GGCGCUGCCCCGGCGAGGCGGGGCCGGGCGGGAGCGGCCCGAGCGCGGCUCCGCUCGGCUCCUGUGCGGCUGCCGCGGAGCCGGGGCCCGCAGCGAUGGCGGCCGCGCUGGGGCCGUGGCUGCUGCCCUUGGCCUUGGCCUUGUGGCCGCCAGUUUUGGAACUAAAUGUACCUCUGGAUCUCCUCAUAAACUUGCACCCAUGGAUAAUUAGGACUAACAUCUGGCUUCUCAUUGCCUGUUUUUACAAAACUUUGAAUACCAUGUGGAAAGAGUGGGUUAUUGGAAUGAGUCCUAGCGGUGUGAAGAUAGAUAAGCUUAUAUUUGGACCAGGGACGACACUCACAGUUGUACCAAACACUCCAAAAACUUCUCUCCCUCAAGUCAUUGUGAUGAAAUCAAGGAAACUGAAAGAAGGUGGCAGCACUGGGAAAGCAGCUUGUUUGGCAAGGAACUUCAUUACAAAGAACAUCAGCUUGGAGAUGCCUGCUACGGAGGUCAUAUAUGAACAGAGCACAUCUAUUUUGACAUCAGAGGGGCUGUACAAUGCAAUUAAGGUGGUCAACGUGACACAAGACACAGAGGUGACUUGCACAGCCAAAUCUGCCAACAGCACAAUAACAUCACAGCCAGGCACAGAAGAGGAGGAUGAAGAACCAGUAACAGAGGCCAGUAAGAGGGUCUGCAACAGCACAGACACCUCUGCACAAGAUCCUGAAGGGCAGAGAGUGAACAUGCUGUCCAUGGCUGUGUUGGGUUUGCGAGUCCUGCUGGCAAAGAGCAUCGCCUUCAAUGCCCUCAUGAGUAUCAAGUUGUUUCUUUUCUGAGUCAUGGGGAAUGAAGGCAAGAGGAACCCGAAGAAGAGCAGGAAAGAACGUGAACCAGCAGCACAAGGGGGUUGAACAAGCAGGGGCAGAGCAGCUGACAGAGACCAGCCAGGACACAAGGCAGCACCUUCCCCUCAAGACAUUGAAUCCUCUUCACUCCUGCCUGGCCAGCUGAUUUACACUGAAGAGUUUUAAGUGCUUUUGCUGUUUCCUCUCCUCUGAGAACAGAGGAGGGUGAAUUUAUCCUCAUCCUCCUGCUUAGCAGAUCUCCCCACUCUUCUGGCAUUUGCACACAAGUGUCCAACCUGCAUCAAUAGUUUUGAAAACUCCAGUGCUGACUCCAGACCUGUGGCCUUUCAAAAGCACCUUUGCCAGGCAUGUUGUGUUACUGCCUCUAGAACUGGAGUAUUACUGCUGAGAGAAUUCAAGCCCUGGAGCUGCCAUUUCUGGCUCUGGGUUUUAGA